AUGCUCACUUCAGCAGUAUAUAUCCUAAAAUUGGAACAAUACAGAGAAGAUUAGCAUGGCUCCUGUGCAAGGAUAACAUGCAAAUUCAUAAAUCACUCCAUAUUUAA